ensembl:lncRNA
GGGGCCCUUUGUGAAGCACGACGGCAGCUGAGCACUUUGCUUGCCGCAAUCUUGCAGCCCAAGCAGGAAAGGUGUGAUCAAAAGUACAGAGCAGGAGUCAGAAUUGGUGUUCUUCUCCAUGCAGAACAAUAGGGAAAAUGGUUUCCAAAACCAGGCAGCCAGCUUCUCUUCUGACAGUGGAAACAGGAGAUCGUUUAGCCUUCAGCCUGCUGUGCCUGAUGUGUGCCCAGUGUGCGCCACACCUGCAUCGCUGCACCCUAAGGGGUCACUGGAAUGAAGUGGUCAGGAAGAGUUAACCAGAUGAAAGAAGGGUGUAAUAUAUUUCAACAACUAAAAUAGCAGUUGAAAUGGGAUGCUAAAAGUCUGUCUGAUGGCUAACAGAAGGCAAGAGAUAAAGGAAGAGGUUCAGUGCCUUUUCUGCAAAGAGAAGAGGAUCAGAUGAAGCAAGAAGCUGGAAAAUUAAAAACAGGAGUGUGGACAUAUUUAUUUUCAUGAUGGUCUGAACUAGUAUGGCUGUCUUAUAUUAAAACCUAUUUCAGCAUAAAACACCCAAGCCCAGUUUCAACUUUUAAAGCAUAUCAGGAGGAAAUAUUUUCCAAUAGGGUAAAGAUCCUGUAAAUCAAACAGAAGGACAACCAUGUCCUGGCUGCAUCCAUGGCAGUGCAGCCAGGAGGGUGAGGGAGGGAUUCUGCCCCUCUGCUCUGGUAUGACCCCGUCAGGGUUCUGUGUCCAGCUCUGGGGUCCCCAGCACAGGAAGGACAUGGACCUGUUGGAGUCCCAGGGAAGGACAUGAAAAUGGUCAGAGGGCUGGAGCACCUCUGCUGUGAGGAAAGGCUGAGAGUUGGUGUUGUUCAGCUUGGAGAAGAGAAGAAACAACAACAAAAUCCCACAACAAAAGAGGUCUAGUUUACAAUAUUUGAGUAAAUUUCAAAUCUUCCACAAGAUAUUUCCUCCACAAAGGAAUUCCGAAUGCAGAAACUACAUGUAAAACUGUUUUGUUUUGGGAAAAGGAUUGAGAAAGUCAUUGCUUCCUUUCAUUAAACUGACAUACCACAUGGAAGAAAUAUUAAGAUUAACUUAAAAUCAUAUGUUAUUCCUUAUUCUCCUUUGACGAUUUUGUGUCAUUCACGUUUUUCUUUGAGGGAAUUUUACUUAUCUGAGUUUUUUGGAUGCAUAAACAUCAAGUCUGAUAUUACUGCACUUUUAGCCCAAAAGACCUCUAUUUUGUUUUAGGAAAAUAACAAACUAAGAACUGCCAGCGCUGACUCUACUUAAAGUUCCCCUGAUCCUUACAAGAUCAGGAUCAAUGGAUUUCGUCAAUAGUUAAUGACAGCUGACUACCAUUAGGUUUGGAUAUAGAAAUUAAAGCUUCCACUAGAGCAAGAAGCAGCUAUUUCACUUGGUUAAGAUGUAAUAUGUGAUAGAACUGCACAAAAAAAUACUGUUUAACUCCAGUUAAAUAUUUAGACAUUCCUCUUGUUACUUCCAUUUUACCUCAUAAAUACAUUGCUGACAGCAAAACCCACUUCUCCUCGAAGUCAAGUGGAGGAGUGACUAAAAUCUUUGGAUUUUAGGGAAAAGGCAGGACCUAGUGUUACAGUUAGUGAGUUAAGAAGAGGCAGUAAGGAGAAAACUGGUGGGUCUGUCUCCCUGGGGCUGUUUUUUACUAUGAACUUCUGCAGCCCACAUGAAUAGAAGUCACAUGGAGAAAUUCAUAUCUCUGUGGGGAGCCUCAGUCCAACUCUCCAACAUGAGCCCUGACCACACUCUUCCAGCACAUUUUCAUAUUAUGUUUUGUUUAGAAUAAAUAAGCAAAUUUUUGAUUGAUAUAUGUGUCAUUUAAGUGUUUCCAAACCCUUUGAUACACAGCAAAAAAAAAAAAAAAAAAUUAGAACUACUGCUUGCAUUUUGACAGGUUUCUGAUUUUUCUGGCAGGCUGUGCUUCUCCCGUAAAAGAAGAGGUGUUUUAGAAGGACAUCUCUUUAUUUGUGACUCAUUCUGCAUAGUAGUAUCUUCAUUGACUUGAGGCUGAUAAAAUAUUCUGUUUCCCUUUCAUGACUCCAGGGCUUUUUUCCUUUUCAGAACUGGUUUGGGUUUGGGUUUUUUUUCUAUAAUACCAUGAACCUGUGUUUUGUUGUUCGGAUGGGUUUUUUUUACCUUGAUGUGGGAACUGCUGUCUGUUCAACCACUCUGCCUCUUUUUACUCCUGCAUUUUUGGAUUGGAACCUUCAGUGCAAUGCCAUGGAGGGAUGUCUGCUGUAGAACCUUACCUUGCCUUUUGUCUUUUCCUUAUUUGCCUUGAGAGCAUCAGAACUACCUGCAUUUCCUAGGUAUGAGAUGUUGAUGCAGACUAAUCAGAGCAAAUCUACAAAUUAUAUUCUGGAGACUUCUCUGGACUUAUUAUCAAUUGAUUCUGAUACCUGCUUUUUGUACUCAAACAAAUCACUAUCCUAAUCCACUUAUUUUGCACAAAAUGCAUCACGAAAUGGCCUUACUGAUGAUUUUUAGUAGCCAUUUAAAUUCCUCUGAAACUAUUUUAUCACUUCAGUCUGAAAUUACCGUUUUCAAAUAAUUUAUCCUGUGAAAGUAAUGAUAUAUUUACCAUAACUGGCUUGCUAAAUAAGUGUUGAGUCCUCUAUGAUUAAUGUGCUUAUUCUUGUCAGCAGAAUGAAGCUGUAGCCUAUGCAAACAUGUCAGACAUACCAUGGAGCAAUUUCUAGAGCCUUCUGGAAAUCCUUUUGGUGCAGUUCUGACCUGCUCAGAGAACUACAUCUAGGUUUAUCCUUUUUCCCAUGCAAGUGAUGAUAUUUGCAGUUCUAAGUUAGUGAAUGUUGUGAUUAGGGAAUGUUCUCCAGGUUAUUUUUCCUGCUAAAAACACACUGCCACUUGCAACUCCCCUCCAAUGAGAAGAACAAACAGCAGAGAUCAGGGGUAAAAAAGAACAAUUUACUGGAAAAAGCAACGACAGAAGAAAACAAGCAAUAACAGCAACAAUAUUAAUAACAAAAGUAUACAAUAGAGAGAGUGAUUCCCAUGCAAAAAUGCUCCCCGUGAGCCCUGAGACAAUGAACAAAUGGUGAACAGUUUCCAACCUUUUUCUCUAUUGAAAGCCACACCUUUCUUCUCAGAAGCCAGACAGUCCCUUAGCUCCUGCCCUGGAAAUGAUGUGUGUUAUGGAAUAAUCUCCUGGCCAUGUACACACAAGUCUGGGCUGCACCAGAUUACUGCAAAAUAAACACCUGGAAGGAACCAGGACAGAGUAUUGGCUUUGUGAGGCAAUAGUUUGGUAACGGGGUCUCUUUGGCAAUGGAGGGGACUACAAGAGUGGCUUCUGUGGGAGGUGUUGGAAGCUUCCCCCAUGUAUGACAAAGCCAAUGCCAGCCAGCCAAGACAGAGCUGCUGCUGGCUGAGCCCAUGGGUGCUGGUGGUAGCACCUCUGGGGUUACAUAUUUAAUGAGGGGAAAAAAGUGCUUCAGCAUUAACUGAAAGAGAGGACUGAGAAUAUGUGAGAGAAACCUGCAAACAAUGAUUCAGGGAAGAAGAAGGUGGAGAAGGGACCCCAGGCACCAGAGCAGAGAUUUCCUGCAGCCUGUGGUGCAGAGCAUGGUGAGGCAGCUGUGCCCCUGCAGCCCCUGAAGGUGCACACGAGCAGAGAUCCACCUGUGCUCCAUGGAGGACCCCAUGCUGGAGCAGGUGGGGGCCUGAAGGAGACUGUGACCCUGUGAGAAGCUCAUGCUGGAGCAGGCUCCUGGAAGGACCUGUGGCCCCAUGGAGAGAGAAGCCCACGCUGGAGCGGAUUUGCUGGCAGGACUUGUGACCCUGUGGGUGACACCUGCUGGAGCAGCCUGUGCCUGAAGGACUGCACCCCACAGAAGGGACUCUGCUGGAGCAGUUUGUGAAGCACUCUGGUGUGUGAGAAGGAUUCAUGUUGGAGAAGCUUGUGAUGGACCAUUCCUCUUGGAGGAACUUCAUGCUGGAGCAGGGAAAAGAUUGAGGAGUCCUGUGCCAGGUUCAAUGGUCUCCUCAGGUUCCUUGUCUCUGCUACCAAGACUGGCCUUGGGUGUACACCAUGGUUUUGGGACAAGGACUUUUGGAGGAGUACAUUUGCUGAAAGGGACCAGCACACACACUGCUUGCUCUUCACAAUGUCAGCCUGACUUCACCACAAGCACAUCAUAAUUUGGACCAAAAUUAUGUGGAAAUGUGACAAGGGAAAAAAGCCCAAGUAUCAUCCUGUUCUUUUUAAAGUUUUAAAGUUCUUUUAAAAGUUUUCUAUGCUUUCUGAUUUUUACAUCUUUCUACUGGAGUUUCUAAUGCAUGUUCAUGUAAAUAAUGAUUGUUUUGCAUUCUUCUUUGUGGGAGGAGAGAAUUGAUGGACUGUUGGUUUGACCAAUGUGGUUGGAGAGGUGGCAAUUUCAUCUUCCAAUCCACUGUCACUUUUGGAAUUCUAUAUAUUGUGAGGUCAGAAAUAAAAGUUUCUUCCUUUUGCUCUUUUGAUCUUAGUGUAAGUGCGAGAGUUAUUUCAUGUUGUAGUGCAACACCCAAGCAUUUUGCUUAUUUCAUUACUACACACUCCCAGCAAAGGCGAAGAGUCACAGAAAUUCAGAUGUAUGAAGGUUGCUGGCUCUGCUCCAGCUUUGAGCGUCUUUCAAACAGCAGCAUGCCACAGCAGCACUGUGCCCAGUUACACUUCCACACAGAGUUCAUCUUUAUUUUGAAUCCUUUUGGUAGCUCCCAUAGAUUUUAGCUACUGUUUGUCUGGUGUUCAAACAAUGAUUAAAAAAGAAUACCUCCAGUUCUUGCUAUAACUUCAAUCAUAAAAAGUCUUCAUGUAAAGAAAAAUGGCUGUUUCUUUUGUCUCAGAAAACUGAA